rnacentral:tRNA from 1 species
CACUAAGAAGCUUCUAUAGCACUAGCCUUUUAAGCCAGAGAGGGAGAGUACCUCUCCCUUAGUGA